rnacentral:rRNA from 1 species
CGGGAUGAGCUCAAAUUUAAAAUCCGGCUGGUUUACUAGUCCGAAUUGUAGUUUAAAGAAGCGUUUUCGGUGGCAGCUUGGGUAUAAAUCCUCUGGAAUGGGGUAUCAUAGAGGGUGAGAAUCCCGUCUUUGACUCAGUGGUUGCUACUAUGUGACACGUUUUCAAA